CCCUUUGAUACUCUGGGCGGCACGCGCGCUACACUGGUUUAUAUAACGUGUAAUUUGGACGAUAGUCUGUAUAAAUCACUAAUAUAAAACCGUGAAUGGGAUAGUUUAUUGCAACUUACAAACUUUAACUAGGAAUCCCUUGUAGAAGUAGUGAAUUAUACUGCUUCGAAUACGUCCCUGCCGAUUGUACACACCGCCCGUCGCUCCUACCGAUUGGAUGCUCAGGUGAGCCAUUCGGACUUUCAUCAUGCUGGUUUCCAGUUUUGAUGAAGGAAAGUCUUGCGAACCUUAUCAUUUAGAGGAAGGAGAAGUCGUAACA
rnacentral:rRNA from 1 species